rnacentral:rRNA from 1 species
AGAGUUUGAUCCUGGCUCAGGACGAACGCUGGCGGCGUGCCUAAUACAUGCAAGUCGAGCGAGCUGAAUUCAAAGAUUCCUUCGGGAUGAUUUGUUGGACGCUAGCGGCGGAUGGGUGAGUAACACGUGGGCAAUCUGCCCUAAAGACUGGGAUACCACUUGGAAACAGGUGCUAAUACCGGAUAACAACAUGAAUCGCAUGAUUCAAGUUUGAAAGGCGGCGCAAGCUGUCACUUUAGGAUGAGCCCGCGGCGCAUUAGCUAGUUGGUGGGGUAAAGGCCUACCAAGGCAAUGAUGCGUAGCCGAGUUGAGAGACUGAUCGGCCACAUUGGGACUGAGACACGGCCCAAACUCCUACGGGAGGCAGCAGUAGGGAAUCUUCCACAAUGGACGCAAGUCUGAUGGAGCAACGCCGCGUGAGUGAAGAAGGUUUUCGGAUCGUAAAGCUCUGUUGUUGGUGAAGAAGGAUAGAGGCAGUAACUGGUCUCUAUUUGACGGUAAUCAACCAGAAAGUCACGGCUAACUACGUGCCAGCAGCCGCGGUAAUACGUAGGUGGCAAGCGUUGUCCGGAUUUAUUGGGCGUAAAGCGAGCGCAGGCGGAAUGAUAAGUCUGAUGUGAAAGCCCACGGCUCAACCGUGGAACUGCAUCGGAACUGUCAUUCUUGAGUGCAGAAGAGGAGAGUGGAACUCCAUGUGUAGCGGUGGAAUGCGUAGAUAUAUGGAAGAACACCAGUGGCGAAAGCGGCUCUCUGGUCUGCAACUGACGCUGAGCUCGAAAGCAUGGGUAGCGAACAGGAUUAGAUACCCUGGUAGUCCAUGC